UUUAGGUAAAUCCGAAAAUAUAAUUAUUUUAAAUUAAUUUAGAUUAUGGAGAAAGUGUUAUUUUGAUUAAUAUUAAUUAAUUAGAUAAAAUUAUGAGUUUUUAGAUUAUGAUAUACUUUAUGUGAUCUUUUGGAGAGAGGGAAAGGAUGAACUUAGGGUAGAUUUUGAAUAGAAUGAGAGCAUUAUUUAGAUUUAUUAUAAUGAUUUUGAAGAAGAAAUUAUCUCUAUUAGGUGUUUUGAAGCAAUCUCGAAGGAAGAAGGAUUAGCAAGGAGAAUCAAUUUCAAGAUUUCUGUGAGCUUAAUUUUAUUCAAUGAGUAGAAGGGGCGGCAUUGUUUAUCGUAGGGCAGGAGCUCCGAAGAAAGGAAAGGACGAAGAUAUGUUUGCUUAUAUGUUUAUGUGAUUUCAAACUUUAUUGUUAUAGUAGCUCUUUCAAAAUAUAUUGGAGAUUUAUUUAGGGAAUUGAUAGAUUUAGGAAUUUAGAUACUUGACCUACCGUCCGACCUCUGUUCCCGCCUCGCCUACGCGAGCUAACCGGGCCGGGUCGUGACAUGUUAUU